UUGACAUUGGGCUCAGCGUACACACUACAAAGUUGAGAUGGGCUCGACUUGCGGAUCAUUUGCUGGAAAUGUUUGACGGGCCAAGAAAUCAAGGUGGGUUUGCACGCGCUUGGGUCUGCCAUAUUUGGGCCUGCUCAGACACUUGUACUGUAGCCUGUAGGCUGAAGGAAGUAAACAAUCAGCCAUAUGGGUGACAUGUUAUACAAUUUUUCAAUGUUAUUAGAGGGGAUGUGGAAUUAGAUUGGAUCUUAGAUAUGAAAUGCACUUUUCUUAAAAAAACGUGAGUCCUUUUUAAAAUCCAUUCAAACAUGCUGUGUAGAAUAAAUGAAAUAAGUUCCUAUCAGUUUUUUUCAUAAUUAUUUCUUUGUAAAAGAAAUGUAACAUUUUAGUUAUUUCAUGAUUGAUGACGAAACACCUGUUUUCGGCAUUCUGAGAAACGAAAUUUUUUUGCGUUACAUGAUAUAGAAGCUGGAAAACAAUAGUUUUUCUUCUUUCAUAAGGUGGAAAUUAGUUUCGUGGUUCCAAUAAGCAAUGAUAUACGGCGUGGAAAUAAUCUCAUUACUCCAUAUGAAUCUUUUUUUUUUACUUUGAUUCAAAAUGGCAAAAUUUAGCUUUCGUUGUUUCAAUUGCUAAUGAGAAACUAGGGCAUCAAGAGGGAACGAUUAAUCUUACGUGCUGAUGGAUUUGUUGGUCCUACUCUUACGUGUUGAUUGAUUUGUUGGUCCGCUUGUGUCAUGCUAGACUCAUCCCGUCAAGAGGACAUGAAGUUUAGUAUUGUUAUAACACGGAUGCUCGCACUAAGAACCAGACAAAAGAGCUGCGAUUAUAUAUAAAAAAGCCGCAGAGAGAAGAUACCACAGAAGCCGCAAAGAGAUCGCGCAACAAUGGG
rnacentral:lncRNA from 1 species